ACAGCUAUAUCACGUUGAAGCACCAGUUCCCGUUCGAUCAGCAAAGUUAAGCACCAACGAGCCUGGUCAGUGCCUAGAUAGGUGAAUGCUUGCGAAUGUGAGAAGCUGUA